rnacentral:rRNA from 1 species
GACGAACGCUGGCGGCGUGCCUAAUACAUGCAAGUAGAACGCUGAAGAGAGGAGCUUGCUCUUCUUGGAUGAGUUGCGAACGGGUGAGUAACGCGUAGGUAACCUGCCUGGUAGCGGGGGAUAACUAUUGGAAACGAUAGCUAAUACCGCAUAAAAUUGAUUAUUGCAUGAUAAUUAAUUGAAAGAUGCAACUGCAUCACUACCAGAUGGACCUGCGUUGUAUUAGCUAGUUGGUGAGGUAACGGCUCACCAAGGCGACGAUACAUAGCCGACCUGAGAGGGUGAUCGGCCACACUGGGACUGAGACACGGCCCAGACUCCUACGGGAGGCAGCAGUAGGGAAUCUUCGGCAAUGGGGGGAACCCUGACCGAGCAACGCCGCGUGAGUGAAGAAGGUUUUCGGAUCGUAAAGCUCUGUUGUAAGAGAAGAACGGGUGUGAGAGUGGAAAGUUCACACUGUGGCGGUAUCUUACCAGAAAGGGACGGCUAACUACGUG